CCCACGGGGGGCAGCAGUGGGGAAUAUUGGACAAUGGGGGCAACCCUGAUCCAGCCAUGCCGCGUGUGUGAAGAAGGCCCUCGGGUUGUAAAGCACUUUCAGUGAGGAAGAACGCCUGGUGGUUAAUACCCAUCAGGAAAGACAUCACUCACAGAAGAAGCACCGGCUAACUCCGUGCCAGCAGCCGCGGUAAUACGGAGGGUGCGAGCGUUAAUCGGAAUUACUGGGCGUAAAGCGCGCGUAGGUGGCUUGAUAAGCCGGUUGUGAAAGCCCCGGGCUCAACCUGGGAACGGCAUCCGGAACUGUCAAGCUAGAGUGCAGGAGAGGAAGGUAGACUUCCCGGUGUAGCGGUGAAAUGCGUAGAGAUCGGGAGGAAUACCAGUGGCGAAGGCGGCCUUCUGGACUGACACUGACACUGAGGUGCGAAAGCGUGGGUAGCAAACAGGAUUAGAUACCCCGGUAGUC
rnacentral:rRNA from 1 species